AGUGAACGCUGGCGGUAGGCCUAACACAUGCAAGUCGAACGGCAGCACAGUAAGAGCUUGCUCUUACGGGUGGCGAGUGGCGGACGGGUGAGGAAUACAUCGGAAUCUACUUUUUCGUGGGGGAUAACGUAGGGAAACUUACGCUAAUACCGCAUACGACCUACGGGUGAAAGCAGGGGAUCUUCAGACCUUGCGCGAUUGAAUGAGCCGAUGUCGGAUUAGCUAGUUGGCGGGGUAAAGGCCCACCAAGGCGACGAUCCGUAGCUGGUCUGAGAGGAUGAUCAGCCACACUGGAACUGAGACACGGUCCAGACUCCUACGGGAGGCAGCAGUGGGGAAUAUUGGACAAAGGGCGCAAGCCUGAUCCAGCCAUACCGCGUGGGUGAAGAAGGCCUUCGGGUUGUAAAGCCCUUUUGUUGGGAAAGAAAAGCAGCAGGUUAAUACCCCGCUGUUCUGACGGUACCCAAAGAAUAAGCACCGGCUAACUUCGUG
rnacentral:rRNA from 1 species